GAUGAGCGCUGGCCACAGGCUUAACACCUGCAAGUCGAGGGGAAACGACGGGGAAGCUUGCUUCCCCCGGCGUCGACCGGCGCACGGGUGAGUAACGCGUAUCCAACCUGCCUCUGACUGAGGGAUAACCCGUCGAAGGUCGGCCUAAUACCUCAGGGCAUUGUCUCCGGGCAUCCAACGACGAUUAAAGAUUUCAUCGGUCAGGGAUGGGGAUGCGUCUGAUUAGCUUGUUGGCGCGGUAACGACCCACCAAGGCGACGAUCAGUAGGGGUUCUGAGAGGAAGGUCCCCCACAUUGGAACUGAGACACGGUCCAAACUCCUACGGGAGGCAGCAGUGAGGAAUAUUGGUCAAUGGGCGAGAGCCUGAACCAGCCAAGUAGCGUGCAGGAUGACGGCCCUAUGGGUUGUAAACUGCUUUUAUGCGGGGAUAAAGUGAGGGACGUGUCCUUCAUUGCAGGUACCGCAUGAAUAAGGACCGGCUAAUUCCGUGCCAGCAGCCGCGGUAAUACGGAAGGUCCGGGCGUUAUCCGGAUUUAUUGGGCGUAAAGCGCGUCUAGGUGGUUAUGUAAGUCUGAUGUGAAAAUGCAGGGCUCAACUCUGUAUUGCGUUGGAAACUGUAUAACUAGAGUACUGGAGAGGUAAGCGGAACUACAAGUGUAGAGGUGAAAUUCGUAGAUAUUUGUAGGAAUGCCGAUGGGGAAGCCAGCUUACUGGACAGAUACUGACGCUGAAGCGCGAAAGCGUGGGUAGCAAACAGG
rnacentral:rRNA from 1 species